AUCCAGAGCCCCGCCGGCCCUGCCAGCUGGGGACACAGGUUCCUGCCUCCGAUGCCCUGUCCCUUGCGGACAAGCUCCCUGGAAAUGAUAGUAACAUAUGCCUUGCUGGACAGUGUGGACAUAGCGCCACAAAGGCCACCAGUUUGGCCAAAGGGUGGACAGCACUAAACCACUCCCUUAACCCACUGUUUUCCUAGGAUCCUCGGAACACAGACAGUGCUCCCCUUCUCGCUACAUAUGCCCGGGGCCGCGUCUGUCUUCCAUUUACUCUGGGCGGCAUCACUGCGAAAACCCAGGCGUCUGCAGGCCUGGCUGCGACGGUGCCCCCACUGCCACACGGGUUCCCUGGCGGCCAGCACCCUGGCCUACCAGGCCGGCCCCCGCGACAGCCUUCCGCCUGGUCUGUGUUUGCCUCGGGGCUCAGCUCUGGGAAGCCCGCAGGUGAGGCGACCACCAGCCUUCGGGGCGGCUGCGUGGCAGGGAAGGGACGCAGACUCGCUCCCGCCCACAUCCAGCCACCGCUGCCGCCAGCGCAGCCUCCGCGGAGCCGGGUCCACCUCUUCGUGAGGCUACUGGGAGCCCGCAAUGAUGAUCCGAACUCUUCUAACCCAGUCCAAGCGUAAGAGAGCGAGAAGGAGUAAGAGGAACGGCGGGGGUGGGGGGGACCCUAAGCCAGAAACUAAACCAAAGACCUGCUGAGAGGAGCAGGUAGGGGAGCCUCUGAGGGGAGUCGCUCUGGAUUCAGAAGCGCUUUCCUGCCAGUCUGGUCCUUUUGGCCACUGUUCAGCAGAACUAGGCCAGGGCCCAAGCGUGUUUAGAAAUGAAACCAGAAAUCUCACACGAGCAAGAGCAUCUACUUCUUUGGUGGCAUCUAGUAAGGCCAGUGUCUGGUCCGAAUGAGGACUAACCACAUAUUUAUUUCUGAAUGAACUGUACACACAUCUUCAUGUUUUCCUCAAAGGUUUCCUUAUCCCCUGUGAUGUUUCGAGGUAACCGAAUGAGUCUGCCGUUCCAAAGCCCGAAGCACCUUUUUUGGGUAGACAGGAGGUGCCGUGGAAUGAAUGGAUCAC
rnacentral:lncRNA from 1 species